rnacentral:rRNA from 1 species
CUCGUAGGCGGUCUGCUACGUCCGCUGUGAAAACCCGGGGCUUAACCCUGGGCUGGCAGUGGAUACGGGCAGACUAGAGGUAGGUAGGGGAGAAUGGAAUUCCCGGUGUAGCGGUGAAAUGCGCAGAUAUCGGGAGGAACACCGGUGGCGAAGGCGGUUCUCUGGGCCUUACCUGACGCUGAGGAGCGAAAGCGUGGGGAGCGAACA